CAGCAGCCGCGGUAAUACGAAGGGGGCUAGCGUUGCUCGGAAUUACUGGGCGUAAAGGGAGCGUAGGCGGACAUUUAAGUCAGGGGUGAAAUCCCGGGGCUCAACCUCGGAAUUGCUUUUGAUACUGGGUGUCUUGAGUAUGAGAGAGGUAUGUGGAACUCCGAGUGUAGAGGUGAAAUUCGUAGAUAUUCGGAAGAACACCAGUGGCGAGGGCGACAUACUGGCUCAUUACUGACGCUGAGGCUCGAAAGCGUGGGGAGCAAACAGGAUUAGAUACCCCCGUAGUCCCUGUCUCUUAUAA
rnacentral:rRNA from 1 species